AACCUUACCUGGUCUUGACAUCCACAGAACUUUCCAGAGAUGGAUUGGUGCCUUCGGGAACUGUGAGACAGGUGCUGCAUGGCUGUCGUCAGCUCGUGUUGUGAAAUGUUGGGUUAAGUCCCGCAACGAGCGCAACCCUUAUCCUUUGUUGCCAGCGGUCCGGCCGGGAACUCAAAGGAGACUGCCAGUGAUAAACUGGAGGAAGGUGGGGAUGACGUCAAGUCAUCAUGGCCCUUACGACCAGGGCUACACACGUGCUACAAUGGCGCAUACAAAGAGAAGCGACCUCGCGAGAGCAAGCGGACCUCAUAAAGUGCGUCGUAGUCCGGAUUGGAGUCUGCAACUCGACUCCAUGAAGUCGGAAUCGCUAGUAAUCGUGGAUCAGAAUGCCACGGUGAAUACGUUCCCGGGCCUUGUACACACCGCCCGUCACACCAUGGGAGUGGGUUGCAAAAGAAGUAGGUAGCUUAACCUUCGGGAGGGCGCUUACCACUUUGUGAUUCAUGACUGGGGUGAAGUCGUAACAAGGUAACCGUAGGGGAACCUGCGGUUGGAUCAC
rnacentral:rRNA from 1 species